rnacentral:rRNA from 1 species
CGGCGGACGGGUGAGUAACGCGUGGGUAACCUGCCUCAUACAGGGGGAUAACAGUUGGAAACGGCUGCUAAUACCGCAUAAGCCCACGGGUCGGCAUCGACCAGAGGGAAAAGGAGCAAUCCGCUUUGAGAUGGCCUCGCGUCCGAUUAGCUAGUUGGUGAGGUAACGGCCCACCAAGGCGACGAUCGGUAGCCGGACUGAGAGGUUGAACGGCCACAUUGGGACUGAGACACGGCCCAG